AAUAUGUCAGUGCUUGUGUUGGUCAGAGCCUCUAUCAUGUCUACCAUGCAGCUGUUAAGGGAUGUUCGGCCACGGGAGGAGCAGUGAGUGGGGCUGCGGGCGCUGCGGUGCUGUGCAGCCGAGCUGUGGGCUGUGGGGCUGUGGGGCUGUGGGGGGGUCCCGGCUGCUGCCGGGGGGGGCAGAAGCAGGCAGAAUUACUUGAUUUUUUUUUUUUAAUUUUUUUUUUUUUUUUUAAUUUUUUGGACGACCUCUAACUUUUUGGAGGGGGGUGGCGGUGGGGACGAGAAUAAACUUCUGUGUCUGAAGGAACAAAGUGGUUUUUGGUUUAUUUCUUGCCAUGUCAGCCUGGAGGGCCCUGCGUGCAGGUGUAGGAGCAGCAGAGCGGCCGUGCCCCCCCCCCAGAGCCAGAGCUGGGCUGCAGCCGCAGGGCUGCCACAGCUGCAGGGCUGCCACAGCUGCAGGGCUGCUGCACUGCUGUGCUGCGUGGGGCCGUGCUCUGCUCCCAGCACUGGGGUUGCAGCCCCGGCUGCCUCCAAUCGGUGCUGUUUUUUGCUCUCUUACCCCACUAGACAGGUGCGUGAGGCGUGAUGGGAACCAGCCUGUUCCUGUGAGGUGUCAAUUAAAAGCUAACCGAAUAGGCUCAGUGCUUUAGAAGCAAAAACCCUUUACCUCUUUGGAAGAUCUCUUCACUGGGAGCAGCACCGGCCCGGCCCUCUGCCUGCAGUGCCGGUGCUGGGAGGUGUGUGGGGCCGUUCCCUGCAGGGUUCUGCCCGGCAGUGACGAACGUGGAAGACAUAAAGGCAAUAAGUUGUUGUUAAGCAACUCUUCUAUUACUUGAAAAAGAAAAAUACAUGAGGACAGUCCUGAAGUUGUGACCAUUUGAACGAUAUUUAUAUGUAUUUUGAUGAAGAUGGAGAAUAGCUGAACUUGAAGUUUGGGGUUUCUUUUUUUUUGCCUUUUUUUAAUUUUGUUGUUGUUGUUGUUAAUAAAUCCUGUAUUCUCAGUCCUUCAGAGCACUUUUCCACAGCUCUCGGGGUCCUCCCAGCUUUACAGCCAUGCAAAACCACAAAAGAAACAAGCAGAAAUGCAAAGGAGAGCAACUCGAGUGUGUCAGGAAGGCGCAAAGUGAGUUUAUAGAACCGUACCUUUAUGUAACAUAUCUAUUUAGUGCCUUAUGAAAGAAGCAGCAUCGCUCCCUUUUUCAAGAGGGGAGAAGGAAAUCCCGGGCAUCGCCCACCCCAGCAGCGCUGUCUGCAUUGCCGUGCGCAGGGCAGCCCGUCCCCCCCAUGGCUUCUGGAUGCUGCCCGGGUCACCUGGGGACUCCUGCACAUGGCGUGGGUCAGGAACCGCAGCGGCUGUUGGACGUGAGGUACCAACCUAAAGACAUCUGUAAUAUCUGCUGCCCUCUUGAGCCAAAACGCGUGCAUAGUGUGGUUGGGGUUUUGUUCUGUUCUGUGAGCUUAACUCGUGUGUUUGCUACAAAAACCAAACGGUUACCUCAGCGGCUGUGGGGUGGGCUGUGCAUCGCGGGCCCACGCGGAGCAGCCGAGGCAGGGGGGGGUUCUCAGUGGUGCUGUUGGGGCGGUGGGCACUGAGCGGUGCAGUGUCGGCAUUGUGCAGUCAGAGCGGCUCCGGGUCUUCCAUCAGUCCUUGGGAUUUCAACUCGUUCUCUUUUUUCCCUCCCCCAUCCUCUCCCAAUGUGAACUUCAGUUUCACAGACCCUUCAGUUUCACAGACCUCACCCCCGAGCAUCCUGCAGCUCCUUGGUCCCUUGGGCUGCGUUACUGGCUCCGCUUUCCUAUGCCGUGCGGGGCAUGGAAUGGGCUUACAGCAGGACGGCUCAGCAGCACCGAGCUGCCAUUGCAGCACUGCUGUCAGCCCAUGUCCCACACCCCCCUGGAGCUGCACUAGGGCUCCCAGAAGGGGGCUCAGCCACAGCCCCAGUGCAGCUCCAGUGCAGCCCGGCUCAGCUCAGCACAGCCGACUCGUCCCCCUGUGCCCGGCUCCCUUCCGCAUCCUGCAGCCCUGCACGCCCUGUGUUUCCGAUGCAGGACCAGAUCUGGGGCCCAGAUCAACUCCCACGUUCUGAAUGGAUGUUUAGAAAUAACGCUCUUUGAUUAUGAUGAUGAUUCUUUAUUAUUGUUGUCCUUAUUAUUGCUAUUUAAUGUUUAUUUUUGCCUCGGGGUCCACGUCUCCCACCCCCCCCAGCCCCUCCAUGGCCGGGUGCUGGCCGCGCACGCUGUCUCCCUUUGGUCUGUAUGCAGGACCUGCCCACGGCUGCCCUCGCAUCCCACAGCUGCAGCAGAGGGAGCAUCAGGCCCUGCCCCAGUGACUUACUGCAACAAAAGCAGGAGCAAUAAGGCAUUGCCAGUGCUCAGCAGCCUCCUGCUGCAGCUCAGCCUUUUUGCUCAGAGUUGUAGGAGUCGUGUUGGCUUUAGAAGGAGUCGUUAAUCUGAGGGAUUUCCUUAGGGUACAGUAUGGCAAACAGCAUCCUGAGCGUGCCACCAGAACCCACGUGGCUUUCUCAGUGAGGGUGGCAAGGAGCAGUGCGUUUCACUGCGC
rnacentral:lncRNA from 1 species